GACGAACGCUGGCGGCGUGCCUAAUACAUGCAAGUCGAACGAGAGCGACCGGUGCUUGCACUGGUCAAUCUAGUGGCGAACGGGUGAGUAACACGUGGGUAACCUGCCCAUCAGAGGGGGAUAACAUCCGGAAACGGAUGCUAAAACCGCAUAGGUCUUCGAGCCGCAUGGCUUGAAGAGGAAAAGAGGCGCAAGCUUCUGCUGAUGGAUGGACCCGCGGUGCAUUAGCUAGUUGGUGAGGUAACGGCUCACCAAGGCCGUGAUGCAUAGCCGACCUGAGAGGGUGAUCGGCCACAUUGGGACUGAGACACGGCCCAAACUCCUACGGGAGGCAGCAGUAGGGAAUCUUCCGCAAUGGACGCAAGUCUGACGGAGCAACGCCGCGUGAGUGAAGAGGGUUUUCGGAUUGUAAAACUCUGUUGUUAGAGAAGAACAAGUGCUAGAGUAACUGUUAGCGCCUUGACGGUAUCUAACCAGAAAGCCACGGCUAACUACGUGCCAGCAGCCGCGGUAAUACGUAGGUGGCAAGCGUUGUCCGGAUUUAUUGGGCGUAAAGCGAGCGCAGGCGGUUCCUUAAGUCUGAUGUGAAAGCCCCCGGCUCAACCGGGGAGGGUCAUUGGAAACUGGGGAACUUGAGUGCAGAAGAGGAGAGUGGAAUUCCAUGUGUAGCGGUGAAAUGCGUAGAUAUAUGGAGGAACACCAGUGGCGAAGGCGACUCUCUGGUCUGUAACUGACGCUGAGGCUCGAAAGCGUGGGUAGCAAACAGG
rnacentral:rRNA from 1 species